UCUGAGGCAUGAAUAGGACGAUACAGAGGAUACAAAGGUGUAUUGAAUAAAAGCGCUAAGGGAAACCUCUCAGUUUUGAAUGCCAACUGAGGGGUGUAAAUUACACGUCCGUUUCCCUUAGCACAAGUGUAAACCAUAUUUGGCAUACAUUUGAAAUUUAGGUAGAAAACAGUAUAUAUACAGCUACUGUACCUUGGCCUUUUUAUCUUUGAUAUCUCUUAUAUCUUUAACAUCUUGGAGAUUACCUGGAUCACAAGUUGCUGCCCAAAAUACAAUCUUAUGCAUGAACAAAAUAGAGGAAGACCACACAAUUCUCUUUGAUGAAAAAUUCUUGAAGAGCAUCGCCUCUAAGAUAGCAAACGAGUGGGACACCUUGGCACCUCAAUUUGGUUUCAGCAAAAAGAAAGUGAAAGAAAUCAGAAGAGACAAUCCAGCAGACAACAUCCGGCAGUGCCAGGUGAUGCUGGUCAACUGGGCAAGACACAACUUCUCAAGUGACGCCAAUAAAUCUGAGAAACUGACGGAGAUUCUAUUAUCUCUUGACAGGAGUGAUCUGGUGUCAGAGUUACAUGAGAAAGAAAGAAUAUGGCUGAGCUUUAUCUGAAAAAUUCUUCAAAAGUUGCAGAGACAUGUAGAUCAAGGAGAUAUCUGACAGGCCUAGCUGUCUGGCUAAACCUUUGUGUUGAGGUGACGUAAAUAUUAUCCUGUUACAAAAAGAUACAAUCCCAGCAGCAAAAGAAAUGGUAACCGAAUCCUGUGUCCAACUUUAGGGGAUAUUUAUAUAUACUUCAUUUGCAUUGAUCUGUAUAAUGACUGUAUCAUAAUGCUAAGUAUGUGAUCAGUGAACAGAAGCAAUCUUCAGUGUACUACAAUGGUUCAGGACAUUAUGAGGUGCAAUAUUCAGGGACAAAUGUAUUCUGCAGUAUAUCAGACAACCAGAAAUGGAGAUCAGUAUUACGCCAUAUUUUGCCAAAAUGUAUUUCUAAGACAACUUGGAUUUAUUGAUGCAAUAAAUUUAAUUACAAGAGUAAAAACAA